GAUGAACGCUGGCGGCGUGCCUAAUACAUGCAAGUCGAGCGAACAGACGAGGAGCUUGCUCCUCUGACGUUAGCGGCGGACGGGUGAGUAACACGUGGAUAACCUACCUAUAAGACUGGGAUAACUUCGGGAAACCGGAGCUAAUACCGGAUAAUAUAUUGAACCGCAUGGUUCAAUAGUGAAAGACGGUUUUGCUGUCACUUAUAGAUGGAUCCGCGCCGCAUUAGCUAGUUGGUAAGGUAACAGCUUACCAAGGCAACGAUGCGUAGCCGACCUGAGAGGGUGAUCGGCCACACUGGGACUGAGACACGGUCCAGACUCCUACGGGAGGCAGCAGUAGGGAAUCUUCCGCAAUGGGCGAAAGCCUGACGGAGCAACGCCGCGUGAGUGAUGAAGGUCUUCGGAUCGUAAAACUCUGUUAUUAGGGAAGAACAAAUGUGUAAGUAACUAUGCACGUCUUGACGGUACCUAAUCAGAAAGCCACGGCUAACUACGUG
rnacentral:rRNA from 1 species